AUCGCUUUUUUUUUUUUAACCAGAAAAUUGUUCUAAGCAGCGCCUUUUGCUAGUGCAACAAGGUGCAGUGGGAUACAGGGACAUGACUCCCACCUUUCUCAGCUGUACUUUAAAUUGCUACUCUCUGGUUAAAUGUCCCCCACUUAGUACUUUUUCUGUUUAAAUGUUGUAGUAAAGACAGAAAAGUAAAAAGCCUAUGUUGCCCCCACAUAAUCUAGUUGUCUAUCCAAAAAGAAAGCCAAGUCAGGCCUUGUUAUAUUGUAUAGCUUAGCUUAUCUGUUAAAUGUUUUUGCAACAGACAUCCAAUGCAGUCAAUCUGCCCUUCAAUAGUUCACUCACUUAUAAUUAAAAAAACUGUAUGGAUUCUCCUUUACGUUUGCAAAACCACACACAUGUAGCUGUUGAGGCAAUUAUUUUACAUCUUUCCUGAUUUUUCCUUUCAAACAUGUUUCUCUGUCGAAUGUAUGUCCCGCCGAAUCUGUUUACCUUGUCAAAUAAAUGUAUUUACCCUUAUAAAUGGUAUUCUUAUCUUUGUUUCCGAUUUGUACAUCAAUUAACGAUGGAGCACAUUGACCAGCUGGCUUAUAUUGAGUUGCGCUACUAAUAUGGAUGCAUCGUAGUUCAACUUUGAAACAGCGAAAAGUAAAGCAAACAUGUGAUUUACUAUGUAACUUAUCAUCAUGUUGGGUGAUAGGCAAUAUUAACAUUUGUUACAAACCAGAAAACAUUAGAAAUCGUAGAAAAACGUUGCCUGAUCAUCGAUAGAUGCAGGUUGUUUCACCUCAACAAAUGACAUAAUUUCUUUCUCGGCAUAUGAUUAAAAAAAAUUUUAAACAUACUCAAACUCGACAAAUUUCACUAUGAAAUGUUAGAGAUGUGCCUUCCUACCGAUUCCCCUUUCGAUUUCCCCCUUUCAAUUUUUUUAACCGAAAUCCCUUUGUCGCAGUUGACCCCGUUUCCCCAGUUGUUGUUUUUUUAACUAGCGUUGGAAUUGGUACUGAUCCCCAAGUCCCGUUCCCCAAGGUGUGUAUGGAUGGAAAUUUUUAAUCUCCCAAGUCGGAGUCUUACUCAAAGCUUCUGUAUUCCCUUCUCAUAGUUUUUCACAUUUCUUCGCAUAUUCAACGUUUAUUACAGAUUUGCUUUGAAGUGCAGGAUGCGCUGUCCAUCCCACAUUGUGGAUUGGUCAAGUAUGCAGAAAUUUUGGGGCAAACCGUCCAAUUUCGUACAAAACGGUGUUCAUCUCAUAUCGCUCUGCCUUGUUACUCAAUGUUAAAGUCAAAACAUUUUAUGGCGCAAGGCAAGCGGAGUAUGUAUGCGGCAUAUGGCUUGUGGGGAAGUCAUGAGUAGCUUUUUUGUUGUUGUUACAGUUUGACAUCUAGAAGAAAACAAAAGACCAAAAGAAACCUUUGUGAAUGUUGGAAUGCUACAAUAUUUCCAACACUUUUUUGCUACACAAUUGCUUUCAUCUUUUUUUUUUUUGGGGUUUCUUUUUUUCUUUUUUUAUUUAUUUUUUUUUUAGCUGCAGCCGACAUACCAUAAUCUCCAGCGACGACCCACCUUACUCACUCCAAUCUUUGCAUCUACUUUUGUUCCAUAUAGC